rnacentral:rRNA from 1 species
UGAGGAAUAUUGGUCAAUGGGCGGGAGCCUGAACCAGCCAAGCCGCGUGAGGGAGGAAGGCCCUAUGGGUCGUAAACCUCUUUUGUCAGGGAACAAAAGCGAGUAUGUAUACUAGUCUGAGUGUACCUGAAGAAAAAGCAUCGGCUAACUCCGUGCCAGCAGCCGCGGUAAUACGGAGGAUGCGAGCGCUAUCCGGAUUUAUUGGGUUUAAAGGGUGCGUAGGCGGCGGUGCAAGUCAGCGGUAAAAGCCCGGGGCUCAACCCCGGCGAGCCGUUGAAACUGCAGUGCUAGAGAAGGCGAGAGGUACGCGGAAUGCGCAGUGUAGCGGUGAAAUGCUUAGAUAUUGCGCAGAACUCCGAUUGCGAAGGCAGCGUACUGGCGCCUGACUGACGCUGAGGCACGAAAGCGUGGGGAUCGAACAGGAUUAGAUACCC